CAUAACUGUGGAUUUUUAAUUGAUUUGAUUUACAUAUUCAUAAUAUGAAUUUUUUAUUUUUAAGGCCUCACUUAGGACUCCUAUGAAGAUAUAAAGACUGAUAAAUGAAAUAACAAGAAUGAUAACAAAACAUUUAUAUAACAUUUUGAGGUUUGUAAACUGCUUUAUAUCUUAUUUUAUUUGAUCCUCUAAAUAACCUAUGAGAUGAUUUUUAUUAAUGUCCCCACAUUACAAAUGAAGAAACCCUUCAAAAAGAUUAAAUGACUUGUCUAGGAUCAAACCACAAGUAAGGGUCUGAGGCAAUAAUCAGAAUCAGGACUCCUUAAAUACAAUGCCAUUAUUCUAUCCAUAUCACCAUCUAGUUGAAUCUAAGAAUAUAGUUUGAUGAUUUUUCUAUUUUUUACAAUCUUACAAUACAGUCAUUUAUGCUGCCCUGGAGAAUGUCUAUUGCAGAGACUAAAUGAGAAGGGUAUUCCAACUACAUGUUCAGUCAUGUAUAGAAAUGAAAUUGGAAAAUACAACUAAUAAAUGGAUAUAUAGCUCCUACUUUCAACUGACAUUGCACUAAAAGAAAAAGUAUGUGAAGAAAUAUUUUGGGAUUCUGCUCAGGAUAAAAACAUGGAAAAAUUGAGCAUGCUUUGGGGAAAAAAAUCCACAACUAUUCCUGCAUUUAAAGGAUGGCAUUCUGAGUAUGGAAUUUAUAUUUCAUUGAAAUAAAUUCUGCUUCAGCUCAAAAUAAUUUUAAUAA
rnacentral:lncRNA from 1 species